UGUUCCCGCGUUCCUCUGUGCAGCGUAUUCCGUCCAGUCUGACUCCCUGGGUUCUGGGCCCUUUUUAUUUAUUUGAUUUUUUUUAAAAAAAAAUUUUUUUUUCGCCGAUUGUUGGUUUUUCGAUCACUGGGUUGGAAGAAUGCUUGAGGGAGAAGGUAGGUAAGGGGGAGGGGUUUCGUUAUUUAUUUUAUGUUUUUCCUUUCACUUCCCUCUCUCGCUCUCUCCCCCUCUAUUGAUUGAUUGAAUUUGUCCCCCACAUUUGAGACGGCUCGCGACGGCGCAGGAUGUUUUAUCAACAACACCUCCACUGAGAGAAUGGAUGCAGUGCAGUUACAGAUGAUCUCAUGCACGAGAAUUGAUUCGGUCACGGUUUUCAUCCAUGGGAGGUUUCUUUGAGAAAAUUGAAUGAACGGGUGAACCAGGGGUAGAGAGAGAGAGAGAGAGAGAGAGAGAGAGAAUGAAUGAAAAGCAACCCGUCUCAAGCUACAGCCAAAGAAAACAAAAUGCUGGGUUGCCAAUAACACCUGUGCACUG
rnacentral:sRNA from 1 species